rnacentral:lncRNA from 1 species
GAAUCAAGAAUUACUUCAAGGUUAUCUAUUUCGGGACAUCAGAACACUAACCACAGAAAGUGAUGAGAAGGGGGCUAGGAAGCUCCGACUACGGUCCUACAAACACCGAUCCGAACGUGGUGGAAUACGUCGACCGUUAGGGCUGUCACUACCCUAAGGCUACCACAACAAUCCGCAGGAUUGGGUGCAAUUCCAGGUAAUUGCAAGACUAAACACCACGUCUAAUCUAUUAAUCACUACUCUAAUGUUUCAAAGAUUAGAGCACUUGAUGCAAGCGGGAAUCCAAUAAAUAACUUGAAUGUAAAUAAAAGUAAUAAAAGAACUCAGGAAUUAUGAGUUGAAGAACCUGGAGAACGACGAAGAACGAACCAGUUGCUGCAAAAGUACAAUGUUGAGGAAGAUCCGACAGAUCCGGCUCCUCCUCCGCUCUCCUCUUCUCUCUCCCUAUUUUCUAAAUUACAACUAGAACUAACUAGAACUAGAACUAGAGGAACUAGAACUAGAACUAGAUGAACUAGAACUAGAUCUAGAUGAACUAGAGGUAGAACUAGAAGAACUAGAGGGAUCCUCUCAACUUGGAUGAAGAAUUGAAACCCUAGCUUUGAUUCUGUAGAAGAGGUAUGAUCUCCAGGGGCCAGGGGGGUCUGGUUUUAUAGUCCCUUCAAGUGAAUCUGGGCCGUCGGAUCAAACCGACAUUGGUCACACGGUUUUCCUUGAUCCUUUAGGUCGGUGGAGCGUUGUCCGCGAAACGUGUCCUGAUUGGGCACUGUAGCUAGGCGGGCGCCCAGGAGAGUUGGGUGGGCGCCCUGCCUCCGAGCCCGAUUUCCUUCCCGUUCGUUCUCGUGGCUUCUGGAGUCUUCUAGAUGGUAGAUAAUAGUGCGGCAUGAUUAGUUGAUGGUUAAAUGUGAGCAUUAAGGACCGUCAACAAGCUCCCCCAAGUUUAACCUUUGCUCGUCCCUGAGCAAAGAUGAACUCAAGAGUUUCUGCAGUGGUUUCAUAACUUAAAGAUACACAUGCGUUUAAACAAGAUCUCAUCUCUAGGUUAGGGUAAACUUUUAAGAUUUAAACUUACUCAUUUUACCUUCAACCAUGGGGCUUGCAACCGUCACUUGUGUCUUGAGCAGUUAAAAGAUAGAACGGUCUAGUCAAGCACCAUGUCUCUUGUUCUUCGAUUAACUAUAGCUCUAGAGUUUUUGCAGAUUUUCAAAUAAAACUCAGAGAUUCCUUGUAUGACUCUCUCUAGUCUCUCUUUUGUGGUAUUUCUGGAUCCUUACCAAGGCAGUAAUGGUGUAUGCCUUCUCUCAAAGUAUGUGGUAUUUGUGGUAUAAGGCAUAGUGGCAUUGCCUUCUCUCUCACCCUACUCUAAUAAGGCUUUUGAUAUCUAGAGCUCAUAGGUGGGAGACAGCUAAUACAUACUUACAAGACAUUUAUUGCAUAGUCAAACCAUGGAUCCAGAAGAACAAGUCAAUAAGUCAAAUCAAGAUGUGCUUGUGUGGCGAAUGAAUGGUGUAUGAUGGUGAUAACAAUGGUGAAAGUCUAAUUCUACUUAUGCUCUUUUGAGGGGAUACAUACCUUUCUUGCACUCUGAAGCUUUUUGAGGGGAAUGAGAUGCUCUAUAUUUUCUUCUUUUUUUUCUUUUCUCUCAGGUGGGUAUCUUGUACCCCUAAUUCUACUGUCGGACACUUGUCCAUUUUUACCUCUCGUCUCACUUUUCCUUUUCUUUCGAGGUUCCGGGCACUUGCCCCUUUUUAUUUCCUCGUAUUCUUUUUUUUUCUUUCUUUUUUUUAGAGCACUCAUCUCCUGAAAUAAUAUAGCAAGUGGUAGUAACCAAGAUAACUUGAGCAUUUAUUUCACAGGGGAAAAACAGAAAUAUUUUUGGCUAUUCUCUCCCGGAUUAGGAGUAGAAUAUUUUUAGGUGGCUCUGGAGAUGGAAAUGUGUGGAUGUGUGUGGAUGCGUACUUCCAGAGUAGAAGCAGCAUGUAUGAGUGAACGUGCAAGUGAAUCUUGACUUAACCACAUGACAAGCUCCUAAGGGUCUACACAGCUUGACCACACUCAAUGCUCAUAAGCAGUAAAAAGUAAAUGUGUGGCUCAAAGUCUAGCAAGCAUGUAUAUAUGGCUGUGGUAGGAAUUUAAACUCUCAUCAUACAGGAACUCAUCAUGUAAUAUUUUAAAGAUUUUUAAAGAUAAAAUUCUCCAGAAUUCUAGCAUCUCUAGGAACAAUAAACAGUAGCUCAACCUUCCCAUAUCGUAUCUGUUAACGACUUAGACUUUAGAUCAAGUACUCUUCCCACAAGUUCACGUUUAGAGCAAAUCUUAAUUAAUACAGUCAUGCCUAAACUUGAGAGUGAUUUCAAUUUUGAGAACUAGUUAUGGCAGAGCAUUUAUUCAUCAUUUCCAUGUGAGAGCUUAUCAUGAGGGUUCAUAACAAACUUUAUUUAUUUAUUUAUUUAGCAAACUAAGCAAAGAUAUAUAAGCACAAAAUCUUUAUUUGGGUUUUUAUGAUUGUGUAUCUUUUUUAUUAUUAAGUAAAGUAUAAACAUGAGUAGAGCACUUAGCUGGAUAAAUGGGGGUGCUCUCCCCCAAGCUGGAUUUUGACGUAGUUUCUUCUAAUGUAGCUAGCAAGUGGUGGAGGUGUAUUUGAAUGUCAGCAGCACCCUGACAGCGAUUAGAAUGUCCUCCGUUUGCUAGUCUUCUUUGAUCCUUGAAUUCUGUGGAGCUCAAAUAGACAACAAAGCUUUGUGGAACUCGUUAAGUGUUAGCAUAAAUAUCUAGCCUUUAUCAUGUUGAGCCUCCUCAAUAAAUAUUACUCUCUUUAGUAGGAUCAUAAAUUUAUUUUUAUAAUUUAAUUUUUUUAUAGGACAGGAAUAUACUUAUUUCAUUUUUAUGCCACCACAAUGGAUGUACUUAUGGGUUUUAUGCCAUGAGCAUACUCACAUGGGGCUUACUAUUUUUAACAUUUUUAUUUUCUUUUCAAGAUGAUGUGAACCUGAUUAACUAAGCAAACUAUUUUAAAUAAUUGAAAGAAAAAAGAUAACUACCAAGUUUACCUCUUGGCAAGGCGUUCGGUGUUUUUAAGUCCUCCGAACGGGACUCUCCAUUUUCUCAGUUGUCCUGGGAUUUGCUGGAUGGUGUAGUCGGUGGUUCCGGUGGAGCCUGCUCUUCAUUUAUAACUAUCUUUUUUCUCCACACCUCACUCGAUGCUACGGUCUCCUCAGGACAGUUCUGUUCAAGUUAUAUGUCUUCAGACCUUACAACUUCUCCAUCAUAGUCUACCCAUCCGUCCUUGAUGAUUUUGCCUUCUCUGGUUGCGGUUGCGCCGUCUCCUUCUUGUCCUGACCUGCUUAGAGUCUUCAACUAUAUAGUUAGGGUCAGUAAAACAGUGGCGUACCUUCUUAGAGGGAAGUGCAUGUGGACUUCUCCGGUUCCAAUGUAGAUGAUUGCUUUAACGGCGCUGAGGAACGGUCUUCCAAGGAUGACGGGUGGAUCGUACUCGUCUUCUCCCAUGUCAAUAACCUGAAAAUCAUCUGGAGCUGAAUGUAUGUUGAUUGUAGGGGCAUGGUUCCAUGCAGGAGCUGAUAAGUGACUGCGGCCAUUAUGUUGACGUCAGAUCCGGUGUCGUAGAGUGUCUUCUGAAAGGAAUAUCCGUUGAUUGUGCACUCAAUGCUUGGAACACCAGGGUCGUCCUUCUUGAUCAAGAAAGGUGACUUGAGUUGACGAUCUUGACCUCCUUGAGCUGCAGUGACCAUCUUAGCUGACUCGGUACACAUUUGCUUGUUCUUGUUCCUCCUGUUGGUCCUCUUCCUUGGUUCAUGUCGGGAUUGCUCUGGGAUUUGUGUAGUCUUGUUUCUUGAAGGAAAACGUCUCCUUCUUCCCCUUGAUGUAGAAACUGAUCUUGGCAGCACUAGCGUAGAUGACAGCUCCCGAGGUGUUCAGGAAUGGCCUCCCUAGGAUGAUGGGUGCCCUCUCAUCAGUACCAGUCUCUAUCACCACGAAGUCUGCUGGGGCGUACAAGGUACCAACUCAGACGUAGAAGUUCUUCAAUAUUCCCCUGGGCAUAAUGUUGACGCUGAAGCCAAAGUUGUAGAGUGCUUCUGGGGAGUCCAUCAUGCCGAUGGCCAAGAUCGGGAUGACGGUGCGUCCUGGAUUGUCUUUCUUGACCGGCAGAAGGUCAGUAAUUACUUCCACAACGGGGUUACUUCUGUAGUUACAUCCUCAAGCAUCUCAGGGCAGUGAUUGCCUGAGUGUCCAGUAUCUCCAGUGUGUUUGUGCUCGUAGAUCUAGGUUCUUCACUUGGUGGAGUCUGGGAGUUAUAAAAGUCCUUCAUAUUUUGCUCGAAGUGUACCUGCUCAUAGAGACAAGGCAGAGAUCAAGUGCAUGGGCCCUGUUGGUGGAAAACACCAACAGAACCAAAAGUGUAUUUGUUCUUCUCUAACCUUAAGCAUAGUGAGCAAGACAAAGCUGAUGGAUAAUAAGAUCAUGAGUGUAGCAUUUAAAGCAUUUGUCAGAUCAGAUCGCUCAACCUAAUGGAAAGAUAAUCUAUCUAUAUUUAUGUUUUGUUUAUAUCUUCCAAAGAUUGAAUGUGCAACAUUUUAGCUCAUAAGAUUAGGAGUGUGGGAUCACAAAGGUGGAAGGACUAAUCAUGUUGAAUCGAUUGGGUUGGUUAAUCUAGAGUUAUAAAUCAUAUAUGUUUGUCUCUUUUAUUCAUGUGAAUGCUAGAACUAAGGAGAAACUUUAUAAAAGCGAUAGUCAAGUACCUUAAGAUGUUACCUUACUUGAAGAGUGAUGGUAUAGUAUCACCUUGUGGAAGCUUUCCUUUCUUAGCGGUUGUGCAUCACGUUUGUGGCACCCUCCAUGGAUCAUCUCUUGUGAGCUAUGCCUUCCUCGUGCAAAUUGUUAAACUUCAUGUGUCUCUCUCUUUGUCUCCAAUGUGAGUUUAUCUCAGGACUUCCCAGGUCGAUAUUGAAAGUUUUCCUGCAGGGGUUAGUCCAACAAAAUAUCCAAUAUCUACUAUAGCAUACUAUCGGCUCAAAAAUCAACCUAGACACCAUGUCUAAUUUGAUUUAGGAGGGCUUUUUAACCUAAGCAUCAUGCUUAAUUUAAACUCUCUUGGAAGUAAGAUCAUCAGCCCUAAACUAAGCACCAUGCUUAAUUAAGAGAUAAAUGAAACUACUCCAAACCUAGACAUAUACUAAAGCAAAUAAAGGUAGCAAGAGAGCAUUUAUAGAGUUCUACUCAAGUGGAGAUGAAGUAGUGUGAUUAGUAUUUAACAAAUUGAGCAUGUCUCAAAGGUAGGGACAACCAACAAAGCAACAUGGCAAAGGAUGUUUUUAAUGUAAAGUACUCCCCCAAGCUUGAAUUUUGCAAAAUUCAAGUUUGGAUGAAUUUAAUUCAAUGUUGUAUGAUGAUUGGUUGGACAUACCUUGUGCUUGUCAUUCAUCCGAUCUUCUUGCUCCAAUCCUGAAAAGGUUAGUGACAAGAAUACCCGAAGGAAUUUUUUACAGUUAUCCAUAUAUGCUCAAUACACAAGGUAAUGUUGUAAAUAAUUAAAAGCUCAUGUUACGAUCUGAUCAGUGCUUAUUUUAGGACACUAAGCUUGUCCUUGGGAAACCAUCAAUUUAUGUUAGUGAAGUGGUUUCCCCUCCAACGCUGACCUAUAUCAAGAUCAACUCAACGAGAUCUGCAAAAUUUAUUAUAGACAUAUGCAUCGACAACCGCCCUUUUAAAGUUUUUAUGAAUAGAAAGGAAGAGGGGGUUGGAGAUCUCGAAUGUGGUGAUGUUGGAGAGACCAAUGGAUUGUGAAGAUGUUGCAUAUGAGCAUGGAGUAAAUGAAGUGGCUAUGAAAUAAAUUCCAUGCUCAUUAAUGCUUAGAGUGAAAUCCAUGUGGUAUGGUGAAAGUGAUAAGGUGAGUGUGGUAAAAAGGAAAAGAAAAAGGAUACACGAACGACUUGGUUCGAAACUAGCACAGCUACCGUUCCCCGGCAACGGCAUCAGAAAGCUUGUUGGGUAUUUUAAACGCAAACAGAAAAAUCCGCAAGCGCACGGAUACCGAUGUAGCUUUCACCCGGGAGUAUUCCAGAGUAUCGAUUUUCCACAGAGAACGUGAGUGUACUAAUUAAGAUCUAAGAUCGCCCAAGGAUAACUAUAUAAUUAUUUUUGGUGGGAAGAGAGGAAGUUUCCUGAGAGUUCUCUAGUUGAUCUAAGAAUCAAGAAUUACUUCAAGGUUAUCUAUUUCGGGACAUCAGAACACUAACCACAGAAAGAGAUGAGAAGGGGGCUAGGAAGCUCUGACUGCGGUCCUACAAACACCGAUCCGAACGUGGUGGAAUACGUCGAACGUUAGGGCUGUCACUACCCUGAGGCUACCACAACAAUCCGCAGGACUGGGUGCAAUUCCAGGUAAUUGCAAGACUACUAAUCUAUUAAUUACUACUCUAAUGUUUCAAAGAUUAGAGCACUUGAUGCAAGCGGGAAUCCAAUAAAUAACUUGAAUGUAAAUAAAAGUAAUAAAAGAACUCAAGAAUUAUGAGUUGAAGAACCUGGAGAACGACGAAGAACGAACCAGUUGCUGCAAA